UACGGGGGGGGCAAGCGUUGUUCGGAAUUACUGGGCGUAAAGGGCUCGUAGGUGGCCAACUAAGUCAGACGUGAAAUCCCUCGGCUUAACCGGGGAACUGCGUCUGAUACUGGAUGACUUGAGUUUGGGAGAGGGAUGCGGAAUUCCAGGUGUAGCGGUGAAAUGCGUAGAUAUCUGGAGGAACACCGGUGGCGAAGGCGGCAUCCUGGACCAACACUGACACUGAGGAGCGAAAGCCAGGGGAGCAAACGGA
rnacentral:rRNA from 1 species